rnacentral:sRNA from 1 species
UUAAGCCCUGCCGCGCGCCGAGGGGAAGAAGCACAUUUAUGUGCGGAUUCCCAUCGGCAUGCGGCAGGCAAACGGGGAUGAGGAAAGAAGCGGAGCGAGAGAAGGAGCGAAGCGAUAUCCGAAUCCCCGGUGCGGAUUGCGGGAGCGCCAAUGGUGCGGAGCAAUCCGCGGCUUCA